rnacentral:miRNA from 1 species
AGUCAGACUGUCCUUUGAAGCUUUGAAGCAAGGCAUUGACUUCUGUCUAGCUAUGAAAGUACUAGAUGGAUAAUUCUUCCAGUAGAAUAUUGUGUCA